ACGAUACAUGAUCAUCUAUCAAUAGGUUUGAAUCAAAGAAGGUUAUACAACAUCAAGUACAUCUAUAAAUUAUUUUUGAAGAAUGAAAGAUUGUAUCACCCAAAUAAUUACAAGUUAAAAGGUCAAACAAUGUACAAGUUAAACAUUCAAGUCCAAGUGUUAAUGGUUAGUGGUCAAUGGAUACAAUACAACCAAAUAGAUUCAACAAGUAAGGCUCAUACAAGUGAGGGUCUCAUCUAUGCAUAAAAUGGUUCAAACAUGGUUAAAUAGGGUCAAUCUAUCAACACCUUAAAGUGACAUUAAUGAUCCAUUGAUCAUUCAUUAACAUGUUUGAAGUGUUGAAGAUUAAGUCAACCCUGGGACCAAUUACCAUGACCAAAUAGAAUGUCAUCAACCAUGAUAAAAAAACAAGGGUCAAAAUGUCUAAUUAAAGUGAUAAAAAAUAAAAUAAAUAAUGGAUAAAAUUAAAAAAAGAUAUUUUGAUGAAGUGUAUUUACAAAAAUGUUGGAUUAAAAAGAAAUAAAUGAGGAAAGAAAUGGAAUUAAAGUGGAAAGAAAAUAAAUAAAAAUAAAGUGAAGUGGAAAAAUAAAAUAAAAAUAAGUAAUAAAAGUAAAAAAGGGG
rnacentral:lncRNA from 1 species